rnacentral:rRNA from 1 species
UACGUAGGGCGCAAGCGUUGUCCGGAAUUAUUGGGCGUAAAGAGCUCGUAGGCGGUCUGUCGCGUCCGUUGUGAAAACUCGAGGCUCAACCUCGGGCUUGCAGUGGAUACGGGCAGACUAGAGUGCGGUAGGGGAGACUGGAAUUCCUGGUGUAGCGGUGGAAUGCGUAGAUAUCGGAAGGAACACCGGUGGCGAAAGCGGCGCGCUGGACCUCUUCUGACGCUGAGGCGCGAAAGCCAGGGGAGCAAACGGG